GCCUCCUGUACCUGGUUGCCUUUAAACAGCGACGUGAUCUUGGUCAUGAUGUCAGAAAGUGUCUCCUUCACACUCUUUUCCAGCAGCCAUCCCUCACUUUCGCUCUCAGGAUUCUCUGGGUCUGCCAGGGUUUCCAGUGAGGUGCUCAGGAUCACUCAGUGGAUUGUUGGCUGUCUGGAAGGAGUGCAGAAAGCAUGAAUGAAGAGCAGGAGACAGAAACGCUUGAGAAACCUACAGAUUCCGUGUGCAGCCAAACGAGACUUGAAGGAGAUGCAGAGGAGCAGAGAUGAGACAAGCAAUAGAUUGUGGACUGAAAUGAUGAGAGCAGGCACUGAACACUUCCCUCAAGAGAAACCAAAUGAGAGCGAGCACUCUACAGCUGAAUGUUUGGCCUCGAGCGAAGGUGAAAAUGAGCAGCAAUAAAUCUGACAGACUUUAUCUGAGAAGAGACCUAAACCUGUUGUGCGUGCUUUGGCCUGGUUUUACUUGGGCAGGAAACAACAUGGCCGCUCUUGAUCUUUGGCUUUGCACCUUUGACCCCAAUGAAUCACAAAGCUAAAAAUGGAGUCUCUACAACAAGGAGGGCGUUGAACUGCGUGGAAUAACAGAGUAUGAUAUAUUCAUAAAAUUGUUCUCAGGAUAUGUUUUUUUUUUUCUCCUGUUUUAAUCCAAUAAAGAUGUACUGUAUGGUGUAUGAGGCCAAGUUCUGCUCUGCAUAU